rnacentral:rRNA from 1 species
UUCCCUCCAGAGUGGAUCCUGAGUACGGCGGAACACGUGAAAUUCCGUCGGAAUCCGGGAGGACCAUCUCCCAAGGCUAAAUACUCCCUAGUGACCGAUAGUGAACCAGUACCGUGAGGGAAAGGUGAAAAGCACCCCGGAAGGGGAGUGAAACAGUUCCUGAAACCGUGUGCCUACAAGUAGUUAGAGCCCGUUAAUGGGUGAUAGCGUGCCUUUUGUAGAAUGAACCGGCGAGUUACGAUUUGUUGCAAGGUUAAGCGGAAAAAGCGGAGCCGUAGCGAAAGCGAGUCUGAAUAGGGCGCAUAAGUAACAGGUCGUAGACCCGAAACCAGGUGAUCUACCCAUGUCCAGGAUGAAGGUAAGGUAAUACUUACUGGAGGUCCGAACCCACGCACGUUGAAAAGUGCGGGGAUGAGGUGUGGGUAGCGGAGAAAUUCCAAUCGAACUUGGAGAUAGCUGGUUCUCUCCGAAAUAGCUUUAGGGCUAGCCUCGAGGUAAAGAGUCAUGGAGGUAGAGCACUGUUUGGACUAGGGGCCCUUCUCGGGUUACCGAAUUCAGAUAAACUCCGAAUGCCAUGUACUUAUACUCGGGAGUCAGACUGCGAGUGAUAAGAUCCGUAGUCGAAAGGGAAACAGCCCAGACCACCAGUUAAGGUCCCCAAAUAUAUGUUAAGUGGAAAAGGAUGUGGGGUUGCUUAGACAACCAGGAUGUUGGCUUAGAAGCAGCCACCAUUGAAAGAGUGCGUAAUAGCUCACUGGUCGAGUGACCCCGCGCCGAAAAUGUACCGGGGCUAAACAUAUUACCGAAACUGUGGAUGAACCUCUUCGGAGGUUCGUGGUAGGAGAGCGUUCUAAGGGCGGUGAAGUCAGACCGGAAGGACUGGUGGAGCGCUUAGAAGUGAGAAUGCCGGUAUGAGUAGCGAAAGAAGGGUGAGAAUCCCUUCCACCGAAUAUCUAAGGUUUCCUGAGGAAGGCUCGUCCGCUCAGGGUUAGUCGGGACCUAAGCCGAGGCCGAUAGGCGUAGGCGAUGGACAACAGGUAGAGAUUCCUGUACCAGUGCUAAUUGUUUAACCGAUGGGGUGACACAGAAGGAUAGGGAAUCGCACGAAUGGAAAUGUGCGUCCAAGCAGUGAGUGUGAGAAGUAGGCAAAUCCGCUUCUCGCGAAGCAUGAGCUGUGAUGGGGAAGGAAAUUAAGUACGGAAGUUCCUGAUUUCACGCUGUCAAGAAAAGCCUCUAGGAAGAGUAGUACUGCCCGUACCGCAAACCGACACAGGUAGAUGAGGAGAGAAUCCUAAGGUGAGCGAGAGAACUCUCGUUAAGGAACUCGGCAAAAUGACCCCGUAACUUCGGGAGAAGGGGUGCUCUAUUAGGGUGCAAGCCCGAGAGAGCCGCAGUGAAUAGGCCCAGGCGACUGUUUAGCAAAAACACAGGUCUCUGCAAAACCGUAAGGUGACGUAUAGGGGCUGACGCCUGCCCGGUGCUGGAAGGUUAAGAGGAGUGCUUAGCUUCGGCGAAGGUACGAAUUGAAGCCCCAGUAAACGGCGGCCGUAACUAUAACGGUCCUAAGGUAGCGAAAUUCCUUGUCGGGUAAGUUCCGACCCGCACGAAAGGCGCAACGAUCUGGGCACUGUCUCAACGAGAGACUCGGUGAAAUUAUAGUACCUGUGAAGAUGCAGGUUACCCGCGACAGGACGGAAAGACCCCGUGGAGCUUUACUGCAACCUGAUAUGGAAUGUUUGUACCGCUUGUACAGGAUAGGUAGGAGCCGAAGAGACGUGUGCGCUAGCAUACGAGGAGGCAAUGGUGGGAUACUACCCUGGCUGUAUGACCAUUCUAACCCGCCACGCUUAGCGCGUGGGGAGACAGUGUCAGGUGGGCAGUUUGACUGGGGCGGUCGCCUCCUAAAGAGUAACGGAGGCGCCCAAAGGUUCCCUCAGAAUGGAUGGAAAUCAUUCGCAGAGUGUAAAGGCACAAGGGAGCUUGACUGCGAGACUGACAAGUCGAGCAGGGACGAAAGUCGGGCUUAGUGAUCCGGUGGUUCCGCAUGGAAGGGCCAUCGCUCAACGGAUAAAAGCUACCCCGGGGAUAACAGGCUUAUCUCCCCCAAGAGUCCACAUCGACGGGGAGGUUUGGCACCUCGAUGUCGGCUCGUCGCAUCCUGGGGCUGUAGUCGGUCCCAAGGGUUGGGCUGUUCGCCCAUUAAAGCGGCACGCGAGCUGGGUUCAGAACGUCGUGAGACAGUUCGGUCCCUAUCCGUCGCGGGCGCAGGAAAUUUGAGAGGAGCUGUCCUUAGUACGAGAGGACCGGGAUGGACACACCGCUGGUGUACCAGUUGUUCCGCCAGGAGCAUCGCUGGGUAGCUAUGUGUGGCAGGGAUAAACGCUGAAAGCAUCUAAGCGUGAAGCCCCCCUCAAGAUGAGAUUUCCCAUUUCUUCGGAAAGUAAGAUCCCUGAAAGAUGAUCAGGUAGAUAGGUUUGGAGUGGAAGUGUAGCGAUACAUGGAGCGGACAAAUACUAAUCGAUCGAGGACUUAACCAA